rnacentral:rRNA from 1 species
UACGUAAGGUGCGAGCGUUGUCCGGAAUCACUGGGCGUAAAGGGCGCGUAGGUGGUUUGAUAAGGGUGUGGUGAAAGUCCGGGGCUCAACCCCGGAUCUGCCGUGCCGACUGUCAAACUCGAGGGCUGUAGAGGCAGACGGAAUUCCGGGUGUAGCGGUGGAAUGCGUAGAGAUCCGGAGGAAGACCGGUGGCGAAGGCGGUCUGCUGGGCAGUUUCUGACACUGAGGCGCGACAGCGUGGGGAGCAAACAGG